AAAAAAGUUGUCAUCUUUUCAUCUUUCUUCUUCAUCCACCGAAAAUACCAGCAAAGAGGGGGUUUUGAAAGCUCAAAAACAUCAGCCACUCUUCACCCUUGCAACUUUGACAGGUUAGCUCGGGGUUGGAGAUUGUCAAAGCCAGCAUCACACUAUCAAGUCAUUACCUUUGGGAUAAUGAAGCGUAUGUUAGCAAUUUUCAAGUGAGUGGCAUGUAUAGGGAUUUAGUUUUAUGGUAUGUGUUAUCAUGAUUUUAGCCAAAUGUAUUGGCUUAUAUUAAGUUAUAUGUAUAUUUCCAUGGGAUGUGGCUCAUAUUGAUUACGGUUUGUAACUCUAGCUAUUCAUGUUAUGUCCAAUGUUUAUGAUGUGAUUAUGUUUGGUU